GGUCCUGGGCGUGAGGGGAUCGGUGGGGAGAGGUCGUUGGUCAGGUGGGCUCUUGUGAGAAGGGGGUUAGCCGGCUGUGAGGGCUUGUAUGAGGAGGAACCUUUGGUGUGAGGAGCUCUUGGGGAGGGCUCAUUGGUGUGAGGAGAGAGUAACCAGCUGUGACGAGUUUUGCCAGGAGGGGUUUUGGCAUGGGGGGCGGUUUUAGGGGACAGGUGAGGGGUUGCUGAGGGACAGGAGAACAAGAGAGAGCUGGCAUGAGGGGGUGCUGAGGGGAGUUUGGGAAAGAGGUUCUGUGGAAACCCCAUGUGGGACACUGAGGGCAGAGAGGGGCCUGAGGGAGAAGAUGGUGAGGAGCUGUUGCUGAGACCAUUUGAGCUCGGCCACAGUUUUGGGAGGCAGCAGGCCUGAGAAAAGGUGUGGGGGAAUAGAGAGAUGGGGGCCUCAGCAAUGGGGUACAUGUGGCCUGGACAUGGGUAGGGAGAAGAGGGGUAGGGGAGAGGCCUGGCAUAGGUGGCAGGGGACAGUGGGUUUGGGGCAGGCUGGCUGGAGGACAUGGAGCCGAGUGGAGCUGCCUGUGGCCAGGAGCAGCUCAGCUACAGGCAGUGACAAUCCCAGAAGGUGGUAGGUGACUGCUCUAGUGCAAGUGCCCUCACCGAAUGGGUGUAUUUCAGCCUGCCCUUGGCCAAGCUGUAUCUAGGUUGUGGCCAGAAGAAGGGAAAAAAAUCUCAUGGGCUGAGCACAUGGUCUCCUAAACUGUACUCUUGGCUCUCAGUGGUGGGGUGUUGAACUUGGUAGGUUGUUGAGCCUUUGUGUGCUUUGGUAUCUCCAUCUACGAAGCAGAGAUAACAGUUAGAUUCAUGCAGGGAUUAAUUAUCACAUCUUGUAGUAACGUGUUUGUUUAUUUGUUUUUACUGUAGAUUACAGCUGGAGGAAUUCUAAACAGUCCACUUCUCCUUGUCAUGGUGUUUGGGCGCAUUGUGCUCGGGUCUGAACAGAGGAAAUCACUGAGAGCUGGUCCUGGAGUAGACCCAUGUGACAUUGCAGUAUGGACAGGAGCUUUAAGAGCACGCACCACCUCUCCAUGAUAUUGUAGGAGCGGAAGUAGAGAACAAUGAUAUCUGCUGCUACUUGAACUGAAAGUGAAAUCCCUGGCUGUUGGUCUGGUUGCUGUUCUUAGAACCUGUGAAUGUCUGCUCCUGUUUUGCUCUAGGUAAUUUUUGUAUGUGGCAAAGUUUUCUGUGUCAUCCUGGAAGCUUUGUCCAUAAGUAGCAAGAGUUAUGGUCUCUUGGUUUCUCAAAGCUACAGCUCCUCACUGGUUCCACAGACCUGCUUUGUCAGAGUGUCAGUAACUUUGUAGAAGUCACUGCAUCCUCUGCUGUGCUUGGGAUGAACUCUGGCACCUGUCUGAAUGUAGGUACAUCCCUCCUGCAGAUCUGCUUUUCUUAUCCAGACUUUGACCUGGUGAGUUUCUUCUCCUACCCUUUGCCUUAGGUAGAUGGUAGUAUGACUUCUGCAUUUCUUAAUACUGUUUUAUCUUGAGUCUGGGAACAUGGAUCAUUAUUAUUUUAGGGUGGGGGAAGAGGGCAAAAAUCCUGUUCUGAGUAGAUAUAUUUUACAUUCUGGUCCUUCUUUAAGGAAGGUGUAGCAGGUCACAGAAUUAAGGCAUGCAUUUCCUUUGUAAGGAAAAAAUAGGCAACCUUAGGCGUUUUUAUCCAUGAUUCCUUACAGACAGAGAUAAGACACUUUUUUGUGAAUCCAUGGUGAAAUAAGUUGAUGAAUCUGCCCAUUUUCUAGUAUUAAGCACUGUGCAUGUGCACACAAAAUACAUCUAGUUCUAAAAAAUAAUGUCUCUAAUGUUCUUUGUGCAGAGACCAGGGCCUGGAUGAUGUUUUGAGACUAGGCCUACCUUUUCUGGAUGAUCUGAUGGAUCCACAUUGUGAUGCACUAGGAUGUAAGAGAUGGAAGCCCCAUAGAAGUGCCAUUCAUGUUGCAUUCAUCUGUGGGGAUGGUUGCUUAAAUGAUUGAUCUAAUAUUUGAAGUCCUAUUGCUUGAUUUAUGUCUUGAUUUUUAGUAUCUUUCUUUCACAUAGUAAAGCAUACCUGAGGUUCUAGUAAAAUUCUGCUCCUGAAUCAAGCUCAAACCUCAUUGCUGCUCCCUGCCUUCAGCUGGAAAUGGACAGACAACAUUUGUGACUGAAUAUCCUGAGUCACCGAUUCCCAGCUGGCAUGUGCACUGCAGUUCCAUCUCUUCCUUUCCGACUGCUCUCCCUAGAGGAGAUUUGGAACAACUGCAGUCGUCAGCUCCAGCGCGGUGUGUGUGCUUGCCGGGAUCCACACAAUUGGUGGAUAACCCCUGUCUACGUCUAUGGGGUCACCAGUGUUUGCCUGGGACAGUUCAUCCUGUUAGCAGGCACUGAUCCGGCUGUGGAGGAGAUAUGUGGCUUGUGCUGAUUCAUGAAAGCAAGUGCAAGUUGCAUCAGCGAAAAAAGGAGUGGCUCACCUUAGAAGCAUUAUGAAGCAGAGGACUGGAGAUCCUAAACAGUAGCUGCAGUGGAGCCAUUUCCAGGAGGUCAAAGUCUACUGCAAGCAGUGACCGGUACAAUUCCCUGUCUGCCUCUAGAGAGAGAAGACUUUAAAGAGACCAGCUUUGUACCUAUAAAUAAUGUACACAGCAGAGUACAAAAAUGGAGUCAAGGAGAAGCUCCUCCUUACCUGAACCUAACUGCAGCAGCUGUGUGAGAAUAGCUGUGGUCAGGCUGUGAGUAGCACUCAUACCCUGUCAUCCAUCUUGACUAAACUGCUUCUGAGAACUAAUUCUGGGAUUCCAACACUUGAAUAUCAACUGGUAAAUCACAACUGCCUUGUACUGAACCAUUAGAUGCCAGCAGCCAAAUGUGGCAAGGUUUUGAACAGUGUGGUUAUAAUCCUACUUGGAACUAAAGGUCUGCUGGAGUGUUUGUUAAAUUGGAUGUGUUGGAAUAUGGAGGAUUUCGCAAGUCUGAACCCCUGCUAUAAAUGAAAACACUGUGGCAAAAAAAUGUAAAUAAAUGCCACACAUACUUUGUGUAAGAGCCCUUACCAAAAUCUAUAAAUAUUGUAAUUUUGGUGUUUACCAAUUUUGAGUUUUAAACAGGAGACAGACACGUGAAAUAUUACAAUGCAAGCAUUUUAUUUUUUUCAUGGAUUAAUUUUAUAAUUUGACUUUUAACUUACCUUAAAAGAGUUAAUGGAAACUAAAUGUAGUGUUUUAAAGAGGAUUGCCUUUGAAAGGAAAUAAUUUGUUCUUGAAAAAAUAACUACACUAGCUUCUCAGUUUAACUGCAUUUUAAUAUGAACACAAAGCUCAUCCCAGGUUAGACUCUCCAGGAAAACUUUCUCAUGAUUACUGUAGCAGUUGAUUCAUUCCUUGCUGACUUAAUUCUGCAGCUUUAAAUGGUAGGUUCUCUGCAAAGCCAUCCACUUCAAAGCUUCAUAAAACAGAGCUUUGAAUAAAUUACUGAGUUAGAAAUUAUACUGGCUGUGCCCUGUUUUGUGCCUGGAUGUGGGAAUACUUGGCACUGGCUGUGGAAUUCCAAGGAAAAUUGCCUCUUUGCAGGCUUGCCAAAGAGCAGUAAGAAGGAAAACUGCUGCAGAUGAGCAGACAUGGAAAUAUCCAGUUUCCCUUCCCAGAGAACACAUCCUGAAGAACUGUUGAAUAUUAAUACACGUUAUAACUGGUGCAACAUUGGGCAAACACUGGGAUUAAUAGGAACUACUUCUUCUGGAGGGGAUGUGUCCCAGUGUGGCCACAGAGCAGCCCUGCCUGCUGGAACCACUCUUACCUUUAAAAUGCAUCCCUGCAGAUGCAAUGUGGAAUCAGUGGGAAGUAGGGAAGGCCUACCAUGUGUGGACACACAUGUUGAGGGCAUGGGAUGCCUAUGCUUCAUGUACCAGGUGAUGAGCCCCAGGCUGUAUUAUUUUGGGGGUUUUUUUCUCUCUUUUGCAAGCUUUAGAUAAUAUGAUGGUGAUAAUAUGACACUUCUAAGCAGUGACAUAGUUGAUUUGUCUUUCACAAAGAGCCCACCUUCCUCUGUAUUCGGAUUUCUGGUAUGUGUGUGUGGAGAUGAUUUGUAUAUAAUUGUUUGCUUUUUUCAGAGUCUUUUGAAGUUUAAAUCUUCAAGCCCGCUCCCUAUAUUAAAAAUAAAUUCUUCCAAGCCACCAAUAAAAUGUCAGCUGUGAUUAAAGCCCAACUCUUCAUUUUAAGACUUGUCCCUUAAGCACUGUGAGGUCACUCAAUGAGUGAGCAUUUGAAAAGACCAGGACCAUUAUUGUUUGGGUAAAGCCCAAAGUUCAUCAUUGCUUGCUUUAAAUAGUUUCAUCACGUUUUAAAUUGCUUUGCAUUGUGCUGAAAGAAAUGUAAACUGCAGAAAUGAUUUGGCAGAUAACUUGUGAUAUUUCAGGCACCUAAAAUCUUGAAAAAAACCCUCUGUAUUAAUGUUGAAGUUGGUAUUUCUGGUAAGGAAAAGCUUUAUCUCCUGUCUAGUAAAGAGGAGGGUGAAGUGGGAAGCUGUGUUUGAGGCAUAAACUUUCAACUGUGUUCUCUUAAAAUAAAGCUUGGGAACUGUAAAAUCUCCAGACAAGGGCUCUUGUGCAGUGCCAAAGUCUGAUAGGGCUUUUCUAGACACAUGAACUUUAUUAAUUUUAUUAAAAUAGUGAAAAAAUAGAAGAGAGCAUUAAGCUGCAAGGGAAAGCCUUGAGAAGCAAGUCCAUACUAUUUUGAAGACUAUCUGUGGAGCCCAUUUAUAUUUUUUUGUGCACAUUAAUUGUAAUAGUCUUUAAUUACAUGAACACAUUUUAUUUUGUCACUUUUCCUCCCUGUUUGCUGCAGUGCAUGCUGUUAGGACUAUUUGGAGCAAUUAAUCACACCAGAGCAGCAAAUAACUUGGAGCACGACUCUGCCUUGGUCUCCAGCCUGUGUCAGUCGUGGGUCUCCCCAUUCUCUCUGCCCUUUUCCUACAUUCCUAAUUAACUCCUGCCUCAGUUCCUCACUGAUCCAUACUAACCCAAAACCCUUUGUCUUAGUGCUGUCUGGAGAAUUGGGCCUUGGUGUGGAGGAGGAAUCCAGGAACAGCAGUUGAAUGUCUUGCCCACCUUUGGAGGCUAGUAAGAGCAGAGGUGGGAGUUCAGGUCAUUUAGCUGCCACCAACCCCCCUGGAACAUGCUCAAGUGGGGAUAAUCAGAGAUUGUCAUGAAAUCUGUUGCAAAUUCUGUCAAGUUUCAAGAAUUCUCCUUACACUCUCGGGCUUCCCCAUCAACCUUUGAUUUUUUUUUUUUUUGUUAAGCAUCAGUUAAAUCUGGUGCUUCUCUCGGAGGUGGACAGGUGCAUUUGUUGAGCCCACCUUUCCCGGGCCGGGUGGGGUGCUGAGCACGCCCGGUGGCGGCUGGAGCCCUGGAGCCGGGUGAGCUCCGGCUGCUGCGGGAGCGCUGCAGCUCGGCCCGGCAGCGAUUCGGGGCGCUGCUGCUGCUGCUCCGCGCUUUCCGUGGCCGCUGCUGGGAGCCCGGCGGCUCACGGUGUGCACAUCCCUGCCCAGAUCCCCUCCGCGUGGCCUUGGCUGGGGCUGUUCCAACCCUCUCCGCCGGCCCCGGGGCGCUGUUCACCC